UGCCGAAGUUUUCCUCGGUAGUUAACUGCAGUCGAUUUUGAACUGUCUCGGCAGUUAACUAUCGAGGGAUAU
rnacentral:pre_miRNA from 1 species